rnacentral:rRNA from 1 species
AUUGAACGCUGGCGGCGUGCUUAACACAUGCAAGUCGUGCGGUAACAGGCGUAGCAAUACGUGCUGACGAGCGGCGAACGGGUGCGUAAUACAUGGGAAUCUGCCCUUUGGUGGGGAAUAACCCGGCGAAAGCCGGGCUAAUGCCGCAUAAGAUCUUCGGAUGAAAGCGGGGAGUCGUAAGACCUCGCGCCGAUGGAUGAGCCCACUGUCGGAUUAGCUAGUUGGGAGGUAACGGCUCACCAAGGCGACGAUCCGUA